rnacentral:rRNA from 1 species
GAUGAACGCUGGCGGCGUGCCUAAUACAUGCAAGUCGAGCGAACGGACGAGAAGCUUGCUUCUCUGAUGUUAGCGGCGGACGGGUGAGUAACACGUGGAUAGCCUACCUAUAAGGCUGGGAUAACUUCGGGAAACCGGAGCUAAUACCGGAUAAUAUUUUGAACCGCAUGGUUCAAAAGUGAAAGACGGUCUUGCUGUCACUUAUAGAUGGAUCCGCGCUGCAUUAGCUAGUUGGUAAGGUAACGGCUUACCAAGGCAACGAUGCAUAGCCGACCUGAGAGGGUGAUCGGCCACACUGGAACUGAGACACGGUCCAGACUCCUACGGGAGGCAGCAGUAGGGAAUCUUCCGCAAUGGGCGAAAGCCUGACGGAGCAACGCCGCGUGAGUGAUGAAGGUCUUCGGAUCGUAAAACUCUGUUAUUAGGGAAGAACAUAUGUGUAAGUAACUGUGCACAUCUUGACGGUACCUAAUCAGAAAGCCACGGCUAACUACGUG